CGGGGUAUAGCUCAGUUGGUAGAGCGCUUCGUUCGGGACGGAGAGGUCGCCCGUUCGAGUCGGGCUACCCCGA
rfam:Microgenomates (Curtissbacteria) bacterium GW2011_GWC2_41_21 TT53_C0024, whole genome shotgun sequence.